GGGGAAUCCGGUGCGAAUCCGGAACUGACGCGCAACGGUGUGGGACGGCGGAAGCCGUGCCGAGUCCGAAUGCCC
rnacentral:ncRNA from 2 species